rnacentral:lncRNA from 1 species
GAAGAAUAACAGCUCCUUGUUUGUAAGUUAUAAAUAUAUAUAUAAGAUUAGGCUAGACAUCGUUCAUUAUUCGUAUCAUUAUAUUAGAAAUUGCGAAAGAGUUUUAUAUAAUCUUGUACGACAAAGACUAAAAUGCCAAAUGAACUACUGACUUGAAGAGCAUCACGCCCCAAAAAGAUACCAGAAAAACAGUCAAACUCAUAAAUCGAAAAUAAACUGACAACGCCAUGGAUAAAAAUGAAAAAGACAAACAGACAAAACAAUAGCACACAUGACACAACAUAGAAAACUAUAGAAAACUAAAGAAUAAUCAAAACGAACUCCGUCAAAAACUAGGAGUGAUCUCAUGUGCUCCGGAAGGGUAAGCAGAUCCUGCUCCACAUGUGGCACCCGGAGUGUUGCUUAUGUUAAAAAAAAUCCGGUAAAAAGUCUUAACUCGGUAGGUCAUAUUCAUGACAGGAAGGAGAUAAAUUUCAUCCAGGUUUUUAUUUAAAGAAAAAAAGGUACCAGGAUUAUAAUUCAGUGCGCCAGACGCGUGUUUCGUCUUCAUAAAACUCAUCAGUGACGCUCAUAUCAAAAUAUUUAUAAAGCCAUACAAGUACAAAGUUGAAGAGCAUUGAGGAUCCAAAAUUUCAAAAAGUAUAACCUACUCGUUGUAACAAUUGGUUUUUGCAUUGUAAAGGAUGAUACCGCUUAAUAAAUGAUAAGACAAUGGUAAACACGAGGUUGGAACUGUUGUUCAGACUUUGAAAAACAAAAGUAAAGAUGAUCUUUAUUAAAUGCAAACACUGUACAAACAAUGUUUAAAUACAGCAUAAAUAAAAUAAUUUGGAAUAACUUGGAAUCUCCAUGCUACGUAUUGGUAUAUGUAGAAUCAAUGGUUUGUUGAGUAACAUUUAUUGUGUUCGAACUUAACAUUCGUGUGUUCUGUGUAUCAUUUAAAUAUUAUCAUAUUACCAUUUAUUGGUAUACUACUUCCAUAUUUUCGAAGAAUUACAGAAAUUUUGGGUCCACAAUGCUCCAACUUCGUACUUUAUUUGAACCUUUUAACUUUUUUUGAUUCGAACGUCCUGGUGAGUCUUUUGUAGACAUACCUCGAGUCUGCGAAAAUACAAAAUUUCUAUCCUGGUAUAGAUCUAUGAGUUUAUUAACACCAAUGUUGGCGUUUACUAGAUGUUGCAUGUAAAAUAAAACAAUGCAAAGUAUAAGUAGCGAAAGAGCUAGGAUGCGGGUAAGUUGUCGGUAUAAUAUAUUAGUUGCUUAUGUAUUACUUCUCUAAUCUUAAAGCUACUUAUUUUUUACAUUAAUUUUGUAAUUCUUUAUAUGAGUUUGAACAUCGGUAUACUACUGUUGCCUUUAUUUAUAAUAUUAACUAAGGAAACUAAUUCCAACAUACCUGCACAUACAUUGUAGCAUUAUAGAAGAUCUAGCAGAUACACCAAUGGACGAAUCAAGCGACGAUGACAUCAACAAAGGUUCUGAUGACAUAAAGAAUAUUGAAAACCAGAAAUAUUUGCCCGCACUUGUGGAUAACGAGGUUUAUCAAGACAAAUUAAAACUAGCUAUUGUGUUAAUGCCUUUCAUUAUUCUUAUUUUGUCGAUAACUACGACGAACUUUGUUAAAAAAAGACGAUGAAAUUUCUCUGUCAGCUUCAGGUAAUUAAACAAAAAGUAUUUAAAAUCAAACCUUCCCGAUUGAUUUUGUGCUAGCUUAACCUCCUACUUAUAUAUGUAUAAUACAUGUAGCUGUUUAGUAAAAAUAGGUUAAUUAUCACAUUAAGACAUAAUUGGUUAACGUGAUAAUUUUAAGGAGUCUGCAUAGCCGUUCGGCCAUGCUUCAAGGUGCACAUUUUGAAUUGUUUUUAUCUUAAGUCUUUUUUUACAAUAUGAUUAUCAAUGUAUUCAAAAUGUUGAAUUGUUAGCCUUAUUAUCAGAAGUGAGAAAAUCGCAUAAUCUCUUCAUUAUACAAAAUCAAUCACACAUUUAACAAACCAAAAACACAUGCACAGCGUUUUUAAUGACAAAGCAGCCUAAGAUGAUGUCUUCAGCACGUAUCAAACGUAAUCCACGUUUAAAACAGCUCCUUACACCGUUUGAAACGCAAGUUAUUUAGAAUAUUUGGACUGUUUUAUUUAAUAUGUCGGUUUAGUUCACGCAUCAUUGUAAAUAUAACGGAAUUUGAUGAGACUGUCAUCAAAGUGAGAGGUUUAGCGCUAUAAAUCCAGGUUUAAUCCACCAUUUUCUACAUUUGAAAAUGCAUGUACCAAGUUAGGAAUAUGACAGUUCUUGUCCAUUCGUUUUUUGAUGAGUUUUGUUAUUUGAUUUUGUGAUUAUGGACUUGCCAAUUAGAUUUUCCUCUACGUUCAGUAUUUUUGUGAUUUUACUUUUUAUUGAUACAUGUCUUACAUUUUAUUUUUAGAUAAUUAUAUACAUACUUGUAAUCUAAUAAAAUUAACGGUACUAAUUUUCUUGCACCAGAUGCGCAUUUCGACAAUACAUGUCUCUUCAGUGAUGCUCGUGGCCAAAAUAUUUAAAAUCCAAAGCUUAUAUAAAAGAUGAAGAGCUAUAAUCCAAAAGGUCCAAAAAAGUAUAGCCAAAUCCGUGAAAGGAAUCAGAGCUUUGCAUGAGGGAGAUACAUUCCUUAAUUUAUAAUAAUUUCUAUCAUUUUUGUAACAGUAAAAUUUUAAUAACACAAAAAAAAUCCGUAUUUUCAUGCCAGUACCGAAGUACUGGCUACUGGGGUGGUGAUACCCUCGGGGACUAAUAGUCCACCAGCAGAGGCAUCGACCCAGUGGUAGUAAUAAAAUUAACGGUACUAAUUUUCUUGCACCAGAUGCGCAUUUCGACAAUACAUGUCUCUUCAGUGAUGCUCGUGGCCAAAAUAUUUAAAAUCCAAAGCUUAUAUAAAAGAUGAAGAGCUAUAAUCCAAAAGGUCCAAAAAAGUAUAGCCAAAUCCGUGAAAGGAAUCAGAGCUUUGCAUGAGGGAGAUACAUUCCUUAAUUUAUAAUAAUUUCUAUCAUUUUGUAACAGUAAAUUUUAAUAACACAAAAAAUCCGUAUUUUCAUGCCAGUACCGAAGUACUGGCUACUGGGGUGGUGAUACCCUCGGGGGACUAAUAGUCCACCAGCAGAGGCAUCGACCCAGUGGUAGUAAUAAAAUUAACGGUACUAAUUUUCUUGCACCAGAUGCGCAUUUACUCUAACUUAAGAAAUUUCAGGAUGUUCCAUCCCGUUUCAUGGAGAAAUUUUGAGACUUUCAAGACAAUUGGAAAACAUAAGCAUGUUAUUGAUGAAUGAACAUGUUUCAGUUGAAGCACAUGGGAAGAAUAUUAAGCAACAAAGGAAGACACACACAUGUGUAUAUGAUCAACUAAAUGGCGAAUUAAAAAGAUUAAAGGAAAAAGUUCAGCUAUUAAAUUCCACAAAGGGUAAGCUACUAUCAGAGAUACAAGAGAGGCGAGAUAUAUCCCAAAGGGAUUUUCAAACUCAGAUGUCGAUGACAAACUGACAACGCCAGCUCUAAACACGACCAAAAUACAAACAAAAGUAUACAAAACACAACAUAGAAUGGGCAACACAAACAACACCAUAAACACGUGGUUAUUUAAGAUGCUCCCGAAUAGGAAGCAGAUCUUGUUCCAUAAAUCGUUAAACAUAUAGGUCGUUAUCUGUGAAGUAGAUAAUACAUAAUGGUCAACCAACCGUCAUGACGGCCGUAAAAUAUUUAAGGUCACAACUGAGAUUUCUUAGCUUGAUUGCUUCCUAGUUGUCAGAUACCCUCUAUGAAGGAAAUCACGUCAGUAAAUGUACGCUCUUGAAUAUUGUGUUAACUGAAUACACUCCAUAUGCAGACGUUGUUGGUAUGUAACUGCAUAGAGAUGGAAAUUUCACAAUUGGGAGGCUAUAGUCAUCUUUACGAUGUCGUAAUAUUUUGUACUCAACCAACCGUCAAUGUCAAUUUCUAGUUAGGAGGCAUAUUUAGCUUUAUCUUACCUCCUAUUCAUUUCUAGGAAUAUGAUUGGUCAAAAUCAACCACAAAGAGACUGUGUAUAUACCAUAUUAUGUUAAUAGGCGGGACUUGUUUCAAUACAUGGUUAGCAGUGGUGUUACGUCCCUUAAAAAUAACACAGUGUUGAGGGAAAAUAUUAAAGGUUUCAACAGACGAAGAAAUUGUUGAUGAUCGAAUGAACUGAAUUCAUAAAAAGACAAUUGAAGCUAAAAAGUUUGCCUUUUUUAAUAAACCAAUGGGAGUAUAUGUUCUUAAUACAAAUGGUAUUAAAGGCUGGAUGACUUACUCUAAAUACCACGUGUUAAGAUAGUCGGUUAGAUAAAUUCUUUACAUAGUGUGCUAGUGACCUUAUACGAUAUAUAUAGGGUAAGUAACACCAUAUGGGGAUUCGAGCUAUUGAUCGUGUGUGUCGACAAUGUAUUGUCUAUAUAUGUUUGAAAUUUGAUUUCGUUCUAUUUUCUUUAAUGUAGCUACCAAAGACCCACUUAAAACAGAUCAAGAUAUAUACACACAACGACAGCGAGGAACUAUAAAUGAACUUGCUUCCCUUUCGUCAAGUCAUUAUAGAUUGGCCUAUGGGAACCGAUGUUUCACUGGUCACACAGAUUACAUUGAUGUCAUUUUCAAACUAAAUCUAUUUCAUCCAAAUAUAAAUGACAAUGGCACGCUAUUGUUUGAAUUUGAAUUCGCAUUCUCCGUCGAAUAUCUAGUGAACUACGUUGAUGAUCAUCAAAUGUUAACAGUGAAGGCUUUUAGAUGCAAACAUCCAUUUGGAAUUUGUCUAGAGGUUACAGAUGAAAUAUCGUCAAAGAUUGAUGUCAGUGUUUUCAAACAAACACCAGAAUGGGUUCAAGGACAUAUCACCAUGGGACUUCAAGGUUCAAGGUUCAUACUCAUGUCAGAAAAUCAGAAUAUUUACGUCGGAAAUAAACUGAAUAUGUCACAUGGUUUGCAAUUAUGGCCAGUGUUUAGGAUAUACAAUACACAUUUAAUAAAUAUGUCCUUUACAAUUCAAUCAAAAGACAACAUCAGUUUCAAUAGAACCAGUUUGGAUCCACAUCUGUUUAUUUCAGAUGAUAACAAUACAAUAUCAAAUUGGUAUUUACAAUUCGAACAGGAACACACAUUAAGUUUCGUAAACGUUUAUAUGUACUUUGAAAAAGCAUUCUUUGUCACUAUGCCCCUUAUAAUGUAUAUGGUAGAAUCUAGUAAAACUUGAUUGUUUUUGAGUAGAUUAUAUUAACUUUUCUCUUUUUUGUUUCUUUAUUUUUCUUGUAUACGAAUUGUUCAUUUAAUAAAACUACGUAAUGUUUGUAUUGUUAUAAGAAAACUACGUUACAAAAAGGACAAGAUAAGGCUCAUUGAUUACAUUUUCAUGCAUUUUAAUCGCUUUUUAUUUUUGUUCUAUAGAUAUGUGUUACUGUCCGUCUAUGACUGACGAAAUAUUUUUGUUUUGUAAACAUGCAAGCCUGUAUCAAGGCAAAUCUUACGCAAUUGAUUCAACUGAAAUCAUAAAUCUGCCUUUCAUGUAGAAGAGACUUCUUCUGUAUUCUGUGUUGCAGAUGUAUACAUUAUCGUGUCCGCUAAUUUACAACAGUUCUAUCACCUUAAAAAGUUUGAAUGAAUGACAAUCAUAUAUAUCAUACAAAAAGAAAUAUAAUUGUAAGAGUUGAGUACGUCCUGAACAUGUCCGGCCAUUAAGAUUGUUAAAAAGAUUAAGCUCAUUUUGCAAUAGUCCCCUUAUUAAGAUGCAAGUUUUUUCUUCUUCCUCAACUAGUAAACUGACGAAGAGGAUUUGAUAAUUCGAGCAUAUCAUGUGCAAGUGAACUAGUAGAAUUUGUUAAAUUAUUGAAUAAUUCGGUUGAAAACAUUCCUAAAUUGUAAACUCACCAAAGGGAUUGUGAAGGUAGGUUGAAAACAGCCUCAAUAAGUCCACUAAUCAUAGGUGUUUGAAAAGCUGAUUAUUAGUAUAUCAUCAUAGUUAUCAAAGGUAACAAGCUAGACACAAAAUGUCUACAUAAGACUCAUCAGAAUAGUUUAAACACCAAACAAGUGUAAAGUUGAAAAGCAUUGAGGACCCAAAAUCCAAAAAGGUUUAUCUAUGUUCAUGAUAAGAAAAUCAAAUAAUAAAUGACUGAGAACGGUUGAAAGUGUGAGAAGAGUAAAUACUGAACGAAUCCUAAAGAUGACUCAAUGUUCUUCAACUAUGUACUGUAUUUCGCCUUUUAAACAUUUUUUGAUUCGAGCUUAACUGAUGAGUCUUUUUAAGACGAAACGCGCGUCUGGCGUAAAUAUAAAAUUUUGAUCCUGGUAUCUAUGAUGAGUUUAUUAUUUAAAGGGUUAAAUGUACCCUUAUCUUAUACACUCGUCCAAUUUAUUGUGAGGGUAUACUAGUAUAAAAUUCUGACCACUCCACGGAUCAUGAUCAAAAUGAAACGAAUGGUUGAGUACACCUACACCCUGAACUAUAUUUCUAAUAUUAACUGUUUAGUCUAUAUUUAGUAAUAUACUUUUUGGCGUGGCCCGGUAUUCAAUCAUCCUGAUAUUGUAUUUAUGUGCUAUGGUCAUUUGCAUUCUUGUCUUUCAUGUUUGCUAAAUAUGAAUUGUCUAUAAAGUGUCUAUAUACCAUUUUGUUUUUCUUUUUAGUUUGUUACCCCGAUUUUGAUUUUUGUCCAUGGAUUUAUGAGUUUUGAGCAGCGGUAUACUACUGUUGCCUUUAUUAAACCCAAUUUUUGACAUUUAUACCUAUCACACCGAAAUAGGAAGAUAUGAUAUGAUAGCAAAUGAGACAUGUCUCAACAAGAGACCAAAUGACACAUGCUGUUUGGUUUCCGCAUACAUUUUUGUCAACAUAAAGGAAUCAUGCGACUUUUCAAGAGACAAGUUUAGGUGGCUACAAGAACCAGUUUUAAUAUACAAUUUUCUACAUACGGAAAUGCCUGUUACAUGUCAGAAAUUAUACAAUUGUUUUCCAUUCGUUUGGUGUGUUUGGUCUUUUUAUUUUACAAUUUAAUUAUGUCGUUUCCUCAUUGAGUCUUCCUUCGAGUUCUGUAAUUUUGUUAUUUAACUUUUCACUGAUGAAGGGGUAUAUUUGUCCAUUGAUUCAAAAGUCAGGAUGAUUGGAAGGGUUGAACAUUUCCAACUGAUGACGAUGACUGGAAGGAUAUAUCAUAUCCUGUUUUAUUCACAUAAUCAAGAUAAUUAUAAAAGUUUUGUACAUUCUACAGAACUACAGAAAUAGAACGCUGACAAGAGUGAUUUGAGGAGGAUAAUGUACUAUAAACUUGUCCAAUUAUCAUUUUGGUCAGACUUCUCAUACUAGCUAUAUAUAGGAAACUGGUAAUUUGACCAAAACGGUUCGAAGGAUUAAAUGAAUUCAGAUUUUCAUUCCUUAGGUCACAAACUAUUGUUAUCGUAACCAAUUGUAUAAAAUCUGACACACACAAAUAUAAUUCCAAAAGAAGACAUUAAUUAAAUGGAAUACAACACAAAAUGAAAAUAAUAUUUUAUUAUUGGUUUUUACAUGGAUAAAAAGUAAAAUCACAAAAUAUACUGAACUUCGAGGAAAAUUCCAAACGGAAAGUUCCUUAUCAAAUGGCUAAAUCAAAAGCUGAAACACAUCAAACAAAUGGAUAACAACUGUUAUAUUUCUGACUUGGUACAGGCAUUUCCUUACGCAGAAAAUGAUUGAUUAAACAUGGUUUUAUAGCUAGAUAAAAAUAAAUCAUUUGUAUAACAGUCGCAUGAAAUUCACAAAGAGUCAACAUUGAUACGGUAGAAUACAAAAUGAAGAUGGGACACUUAUGUUUAAAUUUGUUAAGUUUGUCUUUGAUUUCGCCAAUUUUCUACAUGCCUGUUACAUGUCAGAAAUUAGACAAUGGUUUUCCAUUUGUUUGACGUGCUUGAUCUUUUGAUUUUACAAUUUAAAUAUGGAGUUUCCUUAUUAAAUUUUCCUAAGAGUUACGUUAUCUUUGUAUUUUACUUUUCACGGAUGAAGGGGAUAAAAGGGUUUUGGUAUAUUUGUCCAUUGAUUCAAAAGUCAGGAUGAUUGGAAGGGUUGAACAUUUCCAACUGAUGACGAUGACUGGAAGGAUAUAUCACACCAUGUUCUAUUUACAUAAUUAAGAUUAUUCUAAAGGUUUUAAACAUUCUACAGAACUACAAAAAUAGAACACCGACAAGAGCGAUUUGAGGGGAAGGGUGUUUGAACUUGUCCAAUCAUCAGUGUGUUCAGACUUCUCAUACUAGGGAACUAGUUUUUUUUACCAAAACGAUUCAAAGGAUUAGAUGCAUUCUGAUUUUCAUUACUUCUGUCACUAAUGACUGUUCUCGUAACCAAUUGUAUGAAACCUGUAAGAAACACACAACAAAAAUUCCAAAGACAGGCAUCAAUCAAAUGUUAUGGUAUAUAGUAAGACCACAUAAUGAAAAUAUCGUUUUAUCAUAUUUAUUGUUUUUUACCUGAUUAAAAUGUAAAAUCACAAAAACACUGAACUCAGAAGAAAAAUCAAUUCGGAUAGUCCCUAAUCAUAGGCAUAAUCAAAUGACAAAACACAUAAAAAACAAAUGGACAAGAACUGUCAUAUUCCUGACUUGGUACAGACAUUUUCAAAUGUAGAAAAUGGUGGAUUAAGGUAGCACAAUACAAAGAUUUUUCAUCCCCAAUCAGACAUCUUUAAACUGAUGUAAUUCCACUCAUCCUUCUUUAAAUUUUAUAAAUGAGGUACCAAAAGAAAGAAGAAUGAUUAAUCUUUCAAAUUGUGAUAAUUUCAUUAUGACAUAUUAUUACAUAAUUAAUUGUUAUGUAAUUAGUUGCUAUAUUGUGAUGUCCAUACUUGAAUGAAUUUAGCUUCUUUGUUAUUCAUAGCAUCCAAAAUAUUUUAUAGAUUCUUGCACAACACCGUUUGACCUCCCAAACUGUGUCUCAGAUUUUUCCUAUUGUAUUUCAUUCUCUCAUAAAUCUUCAAUGAAGUUUGCAACAUCAAUUCAUAAGAGAUCACUAAAUUCAAUUGGGUAUAAAAUUUGUUCUAUUGAUGUUUUUGGAAAUCUGAGACACAGUUUUGGAGGUCAAGCUGUGUUGUACAAGAAUCUAUAAAAAUAUUUUGGGAUGCUAUGAAGAACAAAGAAGCUAAAUUCAUUCAAGUGUGGAUAUCACAAUAUAGCAACUAAUUACAUAACAAUUGAUAUAUAUAAUAAUUAUGUCAUAAUGAAAUUAUCACAAUUUGAAAGAUUAAUCUUUCUUCUUUCUUUUGGUACCUCAUUUAUAAAAUAUAAAGAAGGAUGAAAUGAAUUACAUCAGUUUAAAGUUAUCUGCUUGGGAGUGAAAAAAUCUUUGUAUUGUGCUACCUUAAAUAUGGUUUUAUAGGUAGAUAAACAUCUCAUUUGUAUAACAGACGCAUAAAAUAUAGAAAGAAAUACAACAUUGAUGCGGUGGAAUACGAAAUGUUUAAAUUUGUUAAGUCUGACUUUGUUGUCUUCUUCACAUUUGUCUAACGAUGUGUAGUAAGAUAUAGCUGCCCUUUGUAGCUAAACAUGAUCAAAGUUUCACAGUAUGCAUAUCGAGUGAUAAUUGUAGAAUAAGUUUGUUUACUGUUUGAUAUCUCUAUUUUACCGAUCAUACACUAUAGAUUAAAAUGUGCAUUUGAACAAAUAUUAAACUUCCGUAUCUUAGGUCAUAAAAAAAAGUGAAUUGUUCACAUAUGUACACACAGGUAGGAUUUAUGAACGAUAUUUGAUAUUUUAUCACGUAAUAAAAUGAUUUAAAAAUAGAAUUGAUUAUGUACGAUUACAUAAUUUAUUUGAAGAAUAACUGCUCCUUGUUUGUAAGUUAUAUAAUAAGAUUAAGCUAGACAUCGUUCAUUAUUUGUAUCAUUAUAUUAUAAUUUACCAAAGUGUUUAUAUAUGAUCUUGUACGACAGCCGUACAUGUGUUUACAAAAAGACUAAAAUGCAAAAUGAACUACUGACUUAGACAGCAUCCCGCCCCAAAUCUCGAACGGUUUUGAGAAAUUUCAUCCAGGUUUUAUUUAAAGAAAAUAUAACAAAUUAUAACCUACUCGUUGUAACAAUUGAUUUUUGCAUUGUAAAGGAUGACACCGCUGAUAAGACAAUGGUAAACACACACGAGGUGGGAACUGUAGUUAAGACAUGGAAAAACAAAAGUUCAGAUGAGCUUUAUUAAAUGCAAAAACUGUACAAACCAUAUUAUAAUACAGCAACAAUAAAAUAAGUUGUAAUAUUCAUCCUCGUCUUUGUAUAUGUAGUGGCUAACUACAAACGACGUGUUUGGGAAGUAGAAUCAAUGGUUUGUUGAGUAACAUUUAUUAUGUCCAAACUAAACAUUCAUGUGUUCUGUGUAUUAUUUCAGUAUUAUCAUAUUACCAUUUAUUGAUAUACUUAUCCCAUAUUUGCGAAGAAUUACAGGUUCUACAAUAUCAAGCAUUUUUUUAUUCGAGCGUCACUGAUGAUUCUUUUGUAGACGAAACUCGAGUCUUGCGCAAAUACAAAAUUUCUAUCUUGGUAUUAAUGAUGAGUUUAUUAACACCAAUGUUGGCGUUUACUAAAUUUUGCAUGUAAAAUAAAACAAUGCAAAGCAUAAACAGUGAACGAGCUAGGAUGCGGGUUAGUUGUCGGUAUAAUAUAUUAGUUGCUUAUGUAUUACAUCUCUAAUCUUAAAGCUACUUAUUUUUUUUUAUAUUAGUUUUGUAAUUCUUUAUAAUGAUAACUAAGGCAACCAAUUCCAACAUACCUGUACAUACAUUGUAGCAUUAUAGAAAAUCAAACAUACACCAAUGGACGAUUCAAGCGAUGAUGAUAUCAAUAAAGAUUCUGAUGACAUUAAGAAUAUUGAAAACCAGAAAUAUAUGCCCGUCCUGGUGGAUGACGAGGUUUAUCAAGACAAAAUAAAACUGACUAUUGUGUUAAUACCUUUCAUUAUUCUUAUAAUGUCGAUAACUACGAUGACCUUUGUUACAAAAGACGACUUUGAUGGAAUUUCUCUAUCAGCAAACAAAUCAGGUAAAUAAACCAAAUAAGUCUUUUAAAUCCAACGUUCCCGUUUGCUUCUGUUCUAGCUCAACCUCUCACUUAUAUGAUAGUUGUUUGCAGUUCUGUUAUAUUUGUAAACAUAGGUUGAUCAACACAUAAAGACAUAAUUGGUUAACGUGAUAAUUUUAAGGAGUCUAUAAAGCCGUUCGGCCAUGCAUCAUGGUGCACAUUUAAAAUCUACGAUAUCAACAAAUAAUUUAAUUUUGGAGUUAACGCGUUUUCUGAUUGGCUGACGUUGUUUUGAAUAUCAGCUCAUAGACAUAAUUUUGUCAUGUGACCAAUACGUCAUUAACGUUUUUUCAGCGGCUUAUUCAAUGUGCACCACAUCUUUUAUGUAAUUUCUUCAUAGACAGAAAAAAAUAUUACAGUCAUUCCUUAAAUACAAAGCUGUCUGUUCCUUUCGAGAAGUCCAAUGCUUGGGCUUAUCUAUGAUCUCUUCACGAAAUUUUUUUCGAGCAGACAAAGCUAUAAAAAAGCGAAAUGUUUAGACGAUUUCAUUUUUAGUUCAUGAAAUAUCUAACUUUGUGGAGAAACGAGACUGAUUCACAUUAACAAUGCACAAAGGAUACUUAUGCUGUUUUUUUUCUCAGUAUAGUGGAUUGGUAUGUUAGCAAACAUUCGGUAUUUCAAUGGGUACUUAUAGUGCACCUUAGCUGCCUGACUUAUUUGUGUACCCAUAUUAAUACGAGUUGAUACAGAAUCUCUCCAAAGUCAUAACGAAACAUCAUACAAAGUUCUUUAAUUUGAUAUUGGGAAUGUUCUGUCACUCAUCAAUCCACAUUUCAUUGAUUGAUUAUACCUCUCAUAUCCCAUUGAAUAUGAAAUAUAGGAUACUACCGAAAGUAGAAGGUUUAAAUCAUAUAUUGAUCUUCUCGAUAUUGGUACAGAUGGACGAAUUCAAACUAGAAUUCAUGACAAACGUGGUGAUUUCAAUCUUUCUAUUGCCCAGCAAUAACAUACUCUCUGCUCAAUCGUGUGACGUUAAAAAAAACUCUGUUCAUUCAUUACGAUCAAUAUUAAAAUUAGUAGAUGCGGUAUGAUUGACAAAUAGAAAGUGUUUGAUUUAAUUUAUUGCAGAAUCGAAAGACUAUAAAGAUGACAGAAGUUGAGGUCAAUCAUUCUCAAAUCAAUCUAAAGUUGUAAAAAAAGCUAAAGAUAAAAUAUAGAUGGAACCGAACAAAGUUUAGAAAAUAAGUUGAGAUGCGCGUUGUUUUUGCUGUAUACAUUUUCAAAGCAAGACACCGAAAUAAACUAGGAAGCAGUUUGAUUACACCAAAGUGUGCUUUAGUUUAAGAAAUUUACCUAAUAAAUUUAUCUGUAAUUUUAACACAAAAGCACAUUUCUUCACCGUUUGUAAAAAGUUGGAUAAUUAAGGUACUUUUACGAUGUUCAACUGCCAUUAUUUCAAGGUUAGAGGGAAUGACAUGAACUACAGUAGCGAGAAAGGGUGUAUCAAAUGGGCAAGUGUCUCCCGCUAUACAGGAAUCCGUAAAAUAGUAGAUGCUGAAUUUGAUGUAAAUAUGAAACAAUUUAUAAAGAAUAUAUUUAAUACUAUAACCUACUCUAUCAACAAAGUCAGAUCUAAUGACCUUUUGAAAUCGACUGGAAUCUUUUUUAUGUUUAGAUCAUAAAUAUUGGCCUAAGAAUAUUGAAAUUUGCCUAACUACUGAAUGUGACUCAACAAUGUAUUUUCAACUAGUGGAUUCGGAACUGUUGAACUGUCUGAAACACACGAGUCAAAACCCAUUAUUACCCAUACUUUUAUUUGUCUAUUUUAGUUUUGGCAAUUGUUUUGCUGUUUCAAUAUUAUUUAGAAUGGUUUGUCUCUUUGUAGUUUUUGGGAGCACAUGCGACUACUCUCUGUUUUGGCGGGGUUCGUGUUGCUCAGUCUUUAGUUUUCUUUGUUGUGUUUUGUGUACUGUUGGUUUACUAUCUUACAAAAUAUGUGUUCAAAAUGUUCAAAACCAAUUCAUCAUACAAAUUAUUAUCGAUAUACUGUUUUUAGAUAUAGUAUUUCAUUUGUUUUUUCCAGAACAUUUACGUUACUCUAUCCCGUUUCAUGGAGAAAUUUUGAGAAUUUCAAAACAAUUGGAAAACAUAAGCGCGUUAUUGAUGAAUGAACAUGUUUCAGUUGAUGCACAUGGGAAGAGUAUUAAGCAACAAAGGAAGACACCAACAUGUAUAUGUGAUCAACUAAAUGGUGAAUUGAAAAGACUUAAAGAAGAAGUUCAGCUAUUAAAUUCCACGAAGGGUAAGCUACUAUAAGAGACACAAGCGAGGCGAGAAAUGUCCCAAAGGGAUUUUCACACUCUGAUGUCGACGACAAACUGACUACGCCAGCAUAACUCGAAACACGACCAAAAUACAAACAAUAGUAUACAAAACACAACAUAGUAUGAGCAACAUGAACAACUUCAUAAACAAGUGGUUAUUUCAGAUGCUCCCGAAUUGGAAGCAGAUAUUGUUCCAUAAGUUGUUAAAUAUAUAGGUUGUUAUCAGUGAAGCAGAUAAUGCAUAAUAGUCAACCAACAGUCAUGACGUCCUUAAGAUACUUGAAGAGAUCACUUAAAGCUCACAACUCCGAUUCCUUAGUUUGAUAGCUUCCUAGUUAUCAGAUUAUGAAGGAAAUCACGUCAGUAAAUGCAAGCUCUAGAAUAUCGUGUUAAAUGGGAGAUAUACACUACAAUUGUAGACGUUGUUGUUAGGUUACUACAAAGAGAUGGCAAUUAUAAAAUUGGGAGGCUUUAAUCAUCUUUUCGUUGUUGUAAAGUUUUGUUCUCAGCCAACCAUCAAUGUCAAUUUCUAAUUAGGAGGCAUAUUUAACUGUAUCUUCUGUAUUCAUAAAGUUAAUGAUAUAUUUAAUAAUAUUGCAAUUCAAAUAUUCUUUUAUUGGUUUGUCUUCUGUAUAGUAAAUUUUGUUCAGAUCAUUCAAAUUUAGAAAUUUGUGAACUCCUUAUAACUAUGCGUUUUACCUUUUCUACUCCACUUCGCGGCUAUUUAAUUUCGCGAUUUUGUAAUUUGCUUGUUGUGGUUUAAUAAGAAAAGAUCCAAGAUUAACAUAUUCGCGACGAUUUAUAUUCGCGUUAUUUUUCUACUCGCGAAAGACGCGAAAAUAAGUUGGUUUAUAGUAUUUCAGGUUAUGAUAACAGUGCUAAAGCAAAUGUCACACAUGUUUUUUACAUUGAUUUUGCUUGAUAGUUUUAAAACAUUUACCUGCUUGAGGGUUGAACACUGUUCAUGUUUUUCGUCAUGUGUGUCGACAAUGCAUUGUCUGAUAUGAAUGAAAUAUGAUUUUGUUCUAUUUUUCUUAUUUUAGAUAACAAAGACACAAUUAAAACAGAUAAAGAUGUUCACACACUACGACCUAGGAGAAAUAUAAAUGAACUUGCUUUCCUUACUUCAAGUCAUUAUAGAUUGGCUUAUGGGAACCGAUGUUUCACUGGUUAUACGGAUUACAUUGAUGUUAUUUUCAAACUAAAUCUAUUUCAUCCAAAUAUAAAUGACAAUGGCACGCUAUUGUUUGAAUUUGGACUGGCAUCAACUGUGGAAUAUCUGGUAAAAGACGUUUAUGAUAAUCAAAUGUUAACAGUGAAGGCUUUUAGAUGUAAACAUGCAUUUGGAAUUUGUCUAGAAGUUACAGAUGAAAUAUCGUCAAAGAUUGAUGUCAGUGUUUUCAAACAAACACCAGAAUGGGUUCAAGGACAUAUCACCAUGGGACUUCAAAGUUCAAGGUUCAUACUCAUGUCAGAAAAUCAGAAUAUUUACGUCGGAAAUAAACUGAAUAUGUCACGUGAUUUGGAAGUAUGGCCAGUGUUUGGGAUAUACAAUUCGCAUUUAAUAAGCAUGUCAAUUACAAUUCAUUCAAAUAACCUCAUCAGUUUCAACAGAACCAGUUUGGAUCCACAUCUCUUUAUUUCAGAUGAUAACAAUACUAUAUCAAAUUGGUAUUUACAAUUCGAACA